UACGUAGGGUGCGAGCGUUAAUCGGAAUUACUGGGCGUAAAGCGUGCGCAGGCGGUUUUGUAAGCCGGAUGUGAAAUCCCCGGGCUUAACCUGGGAAUGGCAUUCGGGACUGCACGGCUAGAGUACGGCAGAGGGGGAUGGAAUUCCAGGUGUAGCGGUGAAAUGCGUAGAUAUCUGGAGGAAUACCGGUGGCGAAGGCGGCAUCCUGGACCGACAUUGACGCUGAGGAGCGAAAGCUAGGGGAGCAAACGGG
rnacentral:rRNA from 1 species